CCUACGGGUGGCAGCAGUGGGGAAUAUUGCACAAUGGGGGAAACCCUGAUGCAGCGACGCCGCGUGAGUGAAGAAGGAUUUCGGUAUGUAAAGCUCUAUCAGCAGGGAAGAAAAUGCCGGUACCUGAUUAAGAAGCCCCGGCUAAUUACGUGCCAGCAGCCGCGGUAAAACGGAGGGUGCAAGCGUUAUACGGAUUUACGGGGUGUAAAGGGAGCGUAGGCGGUGAUGCAAGUGAGAAGUGAAAGCCCGGGGCUCAACUACGGGACUGCUUUUGAAACUGUGUGACUGGAGAGCAGGAGAGGUAGGCGGAAUUCCUGGUGUAGCGGUGAAAUGCGUAGAUAUCAGAAGGAACACCAGUGGCGAAGGCGGCUUACUGAGCU
rnacentral:rRNA from 1 species